AGAUAAAGAUGCUUAUGGAAGUGGUAAACUCUUAUAUUUAUCUUUUUCCAUGUCCAAAUUUAUUUAUGGACACUAUUUUGAUUUUGAUUAUUUAUAUGUUAUAUCAUACCUUCUGCUAUCAUCAGUGCUAGAUCUGGUGCUGAAUUUUACAUUUAACUAAUUAAAUGUAAACUUUACCUUGCAUUUUGGGUUAUCGAAUAACUAAAUACCUCUCAUGCUCUGCCAUACUGAUCUGGAAAAUACAUUUGGACGGAAAACCACCUGAAUUGUUAUUUUGUCAUCCUUGUGUGUGACAGUUGGCCUAUCAGUUACAUGCUUAUACAAUUUUUGAUGAUAACUCGUGUCUGUUUGUAUUGUGUGUUUCUUUCCGUUGACUCUGAAUAUAUUUGUAGCAAAUGCACUCUGGAAUCUUUGUUUUUAAUAUUCCUUCUCAGUGUUUAAAUGACAACAAUACCGUCUAAGCCCUCCCCCCUCUCCCCUCUCCCCUCAUUACUUAAUUGAAAUCCUCACUUCUUUUGUUUCAUGCCUGACAAAGCCUUCAGUGAUGUGUGAUUGUUGAUAAUGCUUUACAAGUUGAUGAAAUUAAGUAUUUACACAACUCUAUUGUAUACAGAAUUGCAGCAUUGCCACCAAGAGCGCUGAAUGAUUAUUGCAUGCUGUGCGCAAUCUUAAAAGACUCUGGCGGAUUAAAUCCACACUUGCAUUUAGUCUUUUUUUUUCCUUAAUUAUAGUUUGUUUUUGCCUCUAUGAGGUCCUACAACGUUAUAACUUUCCCAUUAGCCUUCAUUAUCAUUUUUCAUAUUUGUGUACAGCAUCCUAGAUUUCAGGCAAUUGUUAAUUACCUUUAGGUUUAAUCCUAAGUUUUGACAGUGGAAUCUACAUUUUACCUUUUUUUUUAGGCUGAUGUUGAUGGGAAUGGAG
rnacentral:misc_RNA from 1 species